UAUGUGAUCGUCUCUCGCAUAUCAAUAAGCGGAGGAAAAGAAACUAACAAGGAUUCCCUUAGUAACGGCGAGUGAAGCGGGAAGAGCUCAAAUUUGAAAUCUUCAAGGUUUUACCUUGACGAAUUGUAGUUUAAAGAAGUGUUUUCUGUUGAAGUUUUGGUAAAAGUUCUUUGGAAUAGGACAUCAUAGAGGGUGAGAAUCCCGUAUUUGACCAUUAUUUUCAGCUGUGUGAUACACUUUCAAAGGAGGUCGGAUUGUUUGGGAAUGCAGUCCAAAAUGGGUGGUAAAUUUCAUCUAAAGCUAAAUAUUGGCGAGAGACCGAUAGCGAACAAGUACCGUGAGGGAAAGACUGAAAAGAACUUUGAAAAGAGAGUUAAACAGUACGUGAAAUUGUCAAAAGGGAAGCGUUUGACACCAGUGUUGUUUUCUCGAAAAUCAACUUAAAAAGAGUUAGAUUUUGUUGUGUAUUGACCUUAACAGCUUGCAUUUCAAUUUUCUUGCUUUUUUUAAUGCACUUUUCGUUUAACAAGUCAACAUCAGUUUCUUUUGUUGUAAAAAGGUCAUUGGAAGGUGGCUUUCUUUUCGGAGAAAGUGUUUAUAGCCUUUGACUCCUGCAAUCGGAGAGACUGAGGUCUGCAGCGUAGAUCCUUCGGGGUUAGAUACAUUUGUGCUAAGUUAUAGCUUUUUAUAGACAACUUGUUGACUAUGAUUAGUCUUGUAGCUUACUCGCUUAUGCUAUUUUACCUACGCUUAGGAUGUUGAAGAUGUAGCACAUCA
rnacentral:rRNA from 1 species